rnacentral:rRNA from 1 species
UAAGGAAUAUUGGACAAUGGAGGCAACUCUGAUCCAGCCAUGCCGCGUGAAGGAAUAAGGCCCUAUGGGUUGUAAACUUCUUUUAGACGGGACAAAACCCCUUUACGUGUAAAGGGUUGAUGGUACUGUCAGAAUAAGCAUCGGCUAACUUCGUGCCAGCAGCCGCGGUAAUACGAAGGAUGCAAGCGUUAUCCGGAAUUAUUGGGUUUAAAGGGUGCGUAGGCGGACUAAUAAGUCAGUGGUGAAAGCCUGCAGCUUAACUGCAGAAUUGCCAUUGAUACUGUUAGCCUUGAGUACAGUUGAGGUAGGCGGAAUGUGUCAUGUAGCGGUGAAAUGCUUAGAUAUGACACAGAACACCGAUUGCGAAGGCAGCUUGCUAAGCUGUAACUGACGCUGAGGCACGAAAGCGUGGGGAGCAAACA